rnacentral:tRNA from 1 species
ACUUCUUUAGCUUAAAAUUAAAGUGUUAGUUUGAAGGGCUAACGAUAUCUUUUGGUAGGA